ACGUGAGCAACCUGCCCCUCACUCUGGGAUAAGCGCUGGAAACGGCGUCUAAUACUGGAUACGAGUUGGAGCCGCAUGGUUACCAACUGGAAAGAUUUUUUGGUGGGGGAUGGGCUCGCGGCCUAUCAGCUUGUUGGUGAGGUAAUGGCUCACCAAGGCGUCGACGGGUAGCCGGCCUGAGAGGGUGACCGGCCACACUGGGACUGAGACACGGCCCAGACUCCUACGGGAGGCAGCAGUGGGGAAUAUUGCACAAUGGGCGGAAGCCUGAUGCAGCAACGCCGCGUGAGGGAUGACGGCCUUCGGGUUGUAAACCUCUUUUAGCAGGGAAGAAGCGAAAGUGACGGUACCUGCAGAAAAAGCACCGGCUAACUACGUGCCAGCAGCCGCGGUAAUACGUAGGGUGCAAGCGUUAUCCGGAAUUAUUGGGCGUAAAGAGCUCGUAGGCGGUUUGUCGCGUCUGCUGUGAAAUCCCGAGGCUCAACCUCGGGCCUGCAGUGGGUACGGGCAGACUAGAGUGCGGUAGGGGAGAUUGGAAUUCCUGGUGUAGCGGUGGAAUGCGCAGAUAUCAGGAGGAACACCGAUGGCGAAGGCAGAUCUCUGGGCCGUAACUGACGCUGAGGAGCGAAAGGGUGGGGAGCAAACAGGCUUAGAUACCCUGGUAGUCCACCCCGUAAACGUUGGGAACUAGUUGUGGGGUCCUUUCCACGGAUUCCGUGACGCAGCUAACGCAUUAAGUUCCCCGCCUGGGGAGUACGGCCGCAAGGCUAAAACUCAAAGGAAUUGACGGGGACCCGCACAAGCGGCGGAGCAUGCGGAUUAAUUCGAUGCAACGCGAAGAACCUUACCAAGGCUUGACAUACACCAGAACACCGUAGAAAUACGGGACUCUUUGGACACUGGUGAACAGGUGGUGCAUGGUUGUCGUCAGCUCGUGUCGUGAGAUGUUGGGUUAAGUCCCGCAACGAGCGCAACCCUCGUUCUAUGUUGCCAGCACGUAAUGGUGGGAACUCAUGGGAUACUGCCGGGGUCAACUCGGAGGAAGGUGGGGAUGACGUCAAAUCAUCAUGCCCCUUAUGUCUUGGGCUUCACGCAUGCUACAAUGGCCGGUACAAAGGGCUGCAAUACCGUGAGGUGGAGCGAAUCCCAAAAAGCCGGUCCCAGUUCGGAUUGAGGUCUGCAACUCGACCUCAUGAAGUCGGAGUCGCUAGUAAUCGCAGAUCAGCAACGCUGCGGUGAAUACGUUCCCGGGUCUUGUACACACCG
rnacentral:rRNA from 1 species